AUGAACGCUGGCGGCGUGCCUAAUACAUGCAAGUCGAGCGAACGGACGAGAAGCUUGCUUCUCUGAUGUUAGCGGCGGACGGGUGAGUAACACGUGGAUAACCUACCUAUAAGACUGGGAUAACUUCGGGAAACCGUAGCUAAUACCGGAUAAUAUUUUGAACCGCAUGGUUCAAAAGUGAAAGACGGUCUUGCUGUCACUUAUAGAUGGAUCCGCGCUGCAUUGGCUAGUUGGUAAGGUAACGGCUUACCAAGGCAACGAUGCAUAGCCGACCUGAGAGGGUGAUCGGCCACACUGGAACUGAGACACGGUCCAGACUCCUACGGGAGGCAGCAGUAGGGAAUCUUCCGCAAUGGGCGAAAGCCUGACGGAGCAACGCCGCGUGAGUGAUGAAGGUCUUCGGAUCGUAAAACUCUGUUAUUAGGGAAGAACAUAUGUGUAAGUAACUGUGCACAUCUUGACGGUACCUAAUCAGAAAGCCACGGCUAACUACGUG
rnacentral:rRNA from 1 species